rnacentral:rRNA from 1 species
GACGGAGGGUGCUAGCGUUGUUCGGAAUUACUGGGCGUAAAAGGGCGCGUAGGCGGCCUGGUCAGUCGGAUGUGAAAGCCCGGGGCUCAACCCCCGGAACGGCAUCCGAGACGGCCAGGCUGGAGACCGGGAGAGGAGAGUGGAAUAGCCAGUGUAGAGGUGAAAAUUCGUAGAUAUUGGCUGGAACACCGGGUGGCGAAAGCGGCUCUCUGGCCCGGUUCUGACGCUGAGGCGCGAAAGCGUGGGGAGCAAACAGG